rnacentral:rRNA from 1 species
GGAGGGUGCAAGCGUUAUCCGGAUUCACUGGGUUUAAAGGGUGCGUAGGUGGGUUGGUAAGUCAGUGGUGAAAUCCCCGAGCUUAACUUGGGAACUGCCAUUGAUACUAUCAGUCUUGAAUACCGUGGAGGUCAGCGGAAUAUGUCAUGUAGCGGUGAAAUGCUUAGAUAUGACAUAGAACACCAAUUGCGAAGGCAGCUGGCUACUCGGAUAUUGACACUGAGGCACGAAAGCGUGGGGAUCAAACAGGAUUAGAUACCCUGGUAGUCCACGCCCUAAACUAUGGAUACUCGACAUUUGCGAUACACAGCAAGUGUCUGAGCGAAAGCAUUAAGUAUCCCACCUGGGAAGUACGAUCGCAAGAUUG